GUCAGCGUCAGCUGAUCUGUUUCGCCAGAAGCCUGCAUCGCAAGACAAAGAUCCUCGUCCUUGAUGAGGUGACCGCAGCCGUGCAUCUGGAGACAGACUCACUCAUUCACGAUCAGCUCAAAGUUCGGGGAUUGUACAGUGCUCACCAUUGCUCACCGGCUCAACACGGUCAUGGAUUACAAUAAAAAUCUUGUUCUCAGCGAUGGAAGAAUCCUGGAGUACGACCAGCCCCAGACCUUGUUGGCAGAUAACAACUCUGUUGUUUAUGCCAUGUCCAGGGAUGCAGGGCUCGUGUGAACUGUCUUGUGAAUAAAGGUCUUGAACAAUCUCGCGACUCCAAAAAGGGAUGGACUCGACUGCUCAUGGCCCCUUGUUCCAACGAAGACCGUACCCCAGUCCUGAGGAUAUGUUCCGAGCUGACAGGGGCACACAACUGCAUUAGAUUGUCA